UACGGAGGGGACUAGCGUUGUUCGGAAUUACUGGGCGUAAAGCGCACGUAGGCGGAUUUGUAAGUCAGGGGUGAAAUCCCGGGGCUCAACCUCGGAACUGCCUUUGAUACUGCAAAUCUCGAGUCCGGAAGAGGUGAGUGGAAUUCCUGGUGUAGCGGUGAAAUGCGCAGAUAUCAGGAGGAACACCAACGGCGAAGGCAGCUCUCUGGGACGUUACUGACGCUGAGACGCGAAAGCGUGGGGAGCAAACAGG
rnacentral:rRNA from 1 species